rnacentral:lncRNA from 1 species
UUAUGAGUAUUGGGCCUUUCGUACUCAUAAGUUGUUUUCGAUGAUUGGGCUUCCGAAUCGACGAUCCACUCCGUUAAAUAUGAUCUAGAGUAUUUGAAACUUCUAAAAAAUAAUUUCGUAAUAUUUCGAAAUCAUUUAAAGUCCAUCAAACGGGCAUUAAAUGAACGGUCAAAAUCGAACGACGUUCUAAAAAUGGAUGAUUGGAUCCUUCAAUUUAAGAUCGGAGUUAUUGAUCUUUAUCUAGGUAGUGAAUAGAAUUUUCUAUAAAAAAUUUAACAUAUUCCAAUUCUUUUACACCGUUAAACUAGCAAGUAUCCCAUACCAGCCGUUAAAAAUUGUCAAUUUUGUGAGCUUUUGAUCAUAAGGUAAAUGAUGUCGAAAAAUUAUGAAAUUUGAUUUCUAGAAGUUUUAAAUGCUUUAGAUAAUGUUUAACGGUAUGGAUCGUCGAUUCGGAAGCUCUAUCAUCGAAAAUAACUUAUGAGUACGAGUGCGAUCGUACUCAUAAAAGUAUAGUAGCCGGACUCUACAUAUAUAUAUAUAUAUAUAUAUAUAGAGAGAGAGAGAGAGAGAGAGAGAGAGAGAGAGAGAGAGAGAGAGAGAGAGAGAGAGAGAGAGAGAGAGUCAGACUAGGAUACUAUCGAUAGCACCAAGCGCUUGGUGCUACUGAAUUUUCUGCCAUUAGAUUUAUUUCUUUCAUUAUUUUUAACUGUUAGAUCAUACUAUUCAACCAAUCACCCACUCAACCCUGGAGGACUACUAUCAACCUAACCGGAGAUCACUAUCACCCUAACUGUAUAUUUUUUUAUCCCAGAGCUGAAAAUCUAAUAGCACCAAUGACUUGGUACUAUUAAUAGUAUUCCAGCCAAAUUCUCUCUCUCUCUCUCUCUCCCUAUAUAUAUAUAUAUAUAUAUAUAUAGAAUUGAGCUCCUAUGCUUUUAAAAGUACCAGGUCAUUGGUGCUUGUAAGUUUUCGGCCCUUGGAUUAAAGGAUGUGCGGUUACGAUGAUGUGGGUCCCCUAGGGUUGAGUGGGUGGUUGGUUGAAUAGUAUAAUCUAACGGGUAAAAAUGAUCAAAGGCAGAGAUCUAACGGUAAAAAAUUUACAAGCACCAAGUGCUUGGUACUUUUAUAAGCACCAUAGCCGGACUAUAUAUAUAUAUAUAUUUAUAAUAGGACUUGUGUGCUAUUAGGAGCAUGGAGGUUUUCGUGUUUCUAAGCCAUUUUGAAUGAUGGGACUUUCGAAACGACGAUAAGCUCAGUUAGAUUUAAUCUAGCGUAUUUGAAAUAUUUAAAAAGUAAUUUUUGUAGAUUUUCGAUAUUAUUUACUUAGUUAUCGAAAGGAUUCAAAAUCAACAAUUUUUUAUGGUUGAUGUAUGUCGUUAGCUCUGAUUGAAAAUAUUAGUACUAUAUCAAACUUUUUAUAAAAUUUUUAUUUUCAACCGUUGAUUUUAAGUCCCUUCGAUCACUAGAUAAAUGAUAUAAACAAACUGCACAAUUUAUUUUCUAGAUAGUUCAAAUAUGCUAGAUCAAGUCUGACGAAGACGACCAUUGAUUCGGAAGUUAUAUCAUCGAAAACGGCUUAGAAGCAUGGAGGCCUCUGUGCUCCUAAUAACACACAAGACCUACUAUAUAUAUAUAUAGAGCUAGGCUAGUAUACUAUCGGUAGCACGGAAGCAUCCACGCUACCAAGUUGUAUUCAAUGAUGUAGCUUGCAAAUCGACAAUCAACUCCUUUAGAUAUGUCUACAUUAUUGAAAGUAUUUGAAAACUAAAUUUCAUAAUUUUUCGACAUCAUUUACCUAUCAAAAGAUUUGAAUUUAAGAUCAGAGGUACUGAUUUUAAUCUAAAUAGUAAAAAAAAUUUUCUAUAAAAAUUUCAUCAAAUUUGGAUUAUUACAUCACACCGACCAUUAAAAUUGCCAAUUCUUAGACCUUUUGAUUACUAGCCAAAUGAUGUCGAAAAAUUAUGAAAUUUCGUUUCCAAAUACUUUUAAUAGUAUAGAUUAAGUCUAGCAGAGUCGAUCGUAGAUUUGAAAGCCGCAUCAUUAAAACAAUUUGGUAGCACAGAGACCUUGGUGCUACCAAUAGUAUAUUGACCUAGCUCUCUCUCUCUCUCUC